GCGCUGGUGGCCUAGCGGUAAGAGCGUGCGACUUUCAAUCCGAAGGUCGCGGGUUCAAACCCCGGCUCGUACCAAUGAGUUUUUCGGAACUUAUGUACGAAAUAUCAUUUGAUAUUUACCAGUCGCUUUUUGGUGAAGGAAAACAUCGUGAGGAAACCGGACUAAUCCCAAUAAGGCCUAGUUUCCCCUCUGGGUUGAAAGAUCAGAUGGCAGU